UCCGAGUCGCCGCCGUCCCCAAACCCGGCGAGGAGUAGGGCGCUAGCGAGGAUGAGUUGCCUCCACGCUGCACCGACAACCAUCGCGUGUCCCGCAUCGACGAGGGCUUCUGAGCUCCCGGCUCGAAGAUGCAGAGCGUCGGCCGACGACGAGUUCUCCUACAACUGCCAGACCACAUCUUCGACUACCUCGUCAACAAGGAUUCAGCUGGGUGCAGAUCUGUUUGCACAGUCUGGGUGCAGAUCUAUUUCCAGGCUUUCUUUGGUCUGGAGAAUGUAGCCCAGGCUGUGGAUGAGGUAGCUGCCACUGCCAGUAGCUAUUCGGAUUUUCUUUGUGCAUUUUGUGUUCCCAUCGAAUCAAGAUCACCGUGCUGUUCGUCUAAUGAACCGUGUCCUGAUCUUGAGAUUAAAAAAGAAGGAUCGAGUACACAUGUAGUUCUGAAUAGUUUUCGAUAAACUGAAACUUGGUUGGUUUGUGUAUCCGACCUCUAAAAAAAUGGUUUGGAGGGAUAGUAGCUCACUGGUGAAACUACUAAAAUCUUUCUCUUGGAUAUUUUGAGCAUAAGUUGGCACAAAGUGUAUCUAGGCAUGUAAAACGUAAUACUCUGAAUGAGGAGCUGUAUGGUUCAGUAAAUACUCCUUCUGGUGAGUGUCCUUGCCGUUCAUCCUUAUCCAGUAUGAUGAGUGUUUUAUGGAUUCUGAUGUCGAUGUUGAGAGGGAAUGGAGCUUUCACAGGGAGCUGGCUAGAUGAAUUGUAUUCUGUAGCUACACAGGGAGCUUUUAUAUAUUGACCAAUGCAUUCUUUUAGCAGAUUAAUAUCGUAUUCUAGAGUUCGUAGCCAACAAGCAUGAACAUCUGUAGAAAACAUCGAUAUAUCUUUUCUUUCUGCAAAACAUCAGUAGAAAACAUGUGUUAAGACAUAAGCAUGUCUUAACAUAUGGGAUAUUGAUUUGGUUCCGUUAUCUUACUUGCAGCUUUUAUUUUCAAGUUUCGACCAUAACAUGCUAUACUAAGCAGCAACCAUCUUCUGAGCAACUUUUACUUGAAGUCUUGGACCAUAAUGUUGUACUCAUCAGAAUCAUGGGCAGGUCGACAUCAACCUAUUUUUGAUGCUGCUUGCUUACUCAACAUGUAGUAUAUUAGUAGCUUAUGUAAUGUUAAAAUAAUUAUUAUAGAUGCAGUAACAUGUAUUAGUGCAUAAACCAUUUACUUGUACACUACUCCUGAUGCAGAGCUUUGCAAAUAAUUUUCAUGGCUGUGCAUAAAUAAUCUCCAAUUCUGUUAUCCUGAAUCGUGGUGUGCUCAGGAUUCUGCUCUUCUAAUGAUGUGGUUUUGUAUAUGCUUGGUGCUCGCAGUUGACGGAGAAAAAGCUGGCAACUUCAUGCGGGAGAUAAAGGUGCAGAAGCUCGUCCUUGACAUCUCCGUCGGGGAGUCAAGAUCGCCUCAGCCGUGCGUCGAAGUAACCAUGCAGGAUACGCGAUUUGGUGGUGCUACUUUUCCCAAGACUUGAGGUUAUUUUCCUCCCCAAAUUCUAAUCCUUUAGGACUGAGAAUGUGGAUGCUUAUGCUUGUAGCAAUGUUUGAACAUGGAAUUUUCCCUUCUAAAAUAUGCAUGUUGUGGUUUUAGUACACAGAAAUCUGUUAGUACUGGUUAUGAUGUUGAACCAUGACCCUGGAUCUUUUCCCUUGUUGGUAAUAUUUAGUAUAUUUUCAAACCUUGAUAUUGGACCUUA